AUCCCUGAUGCUGUGCCGCCAAGUGUGAUUCUGUAAAUAGCCAGUAUCCAAGCAUUGCAGUUGGGUGUGGUGGGGGUGGGGUGAGUGCGUUUAGGUUUUCUGUGUACCUGUCUGUCUGUCUAUCAGUCUUUCUUCGUUUUCUUUGCCUUUUUUUGACCAAGUCUCGUAUAGCCGACACUGCUCAGGAACCGGUUAUGUUGUUGAGAUCUUCCUGCCUGCGCUUCUCAUACGGAUGUAUUCACAGAAGAAGACAGGUCGGAAAGUGACAAAGCUUUAUCUGGGGUGACGAGAGACUCACUAACAGAAGGUGGAAGAGGAUUAAAAAGUGCUUGCCUGGGAGGCGAUUCUGAGUAUAAGUAACUGGCGCUGAGGUCUGAAAA
rnacentral:lncRNA from 1 species